GUAGUCCUGGCCGUAAACGAUGUCGACUUGGAGGUUGUUCCCUUGAGGAGUGGCUUCCGGAGCUAACGCGUUAAGUCGACCGCCUGGGGAGUACGGCCGCAAGGUUAAAACUCAAAUGAAUUGACGGGGGCCCGCACAAGCGGUGGAGCAUGUGGUUUAAUUCGAUGCAACGCGAAGAACCUUACCUACUCUUGACAUCCAGAGAACUUAGCAGAGAUGCUUUGGUGCCUUCGGGAACUCUGAGACAGGUGCUGCAUGGCUGUCGUCAGCUCGUGUUGUGAAAUGUUGGGUUAAGUCCCGCAACGAGCGCAACCCUUAUCCUUUGUUGCCAGCGGUUCGGCCGGGAACUCAAAGGAGACUGCCAGUGAUAAACUGGAGGAAGGUGGGGAUGACGUCAAGUCAUCAUGGCCCUUACGAGUAGGGCUACACACGUGCUACAAUGGCAUAUACAAAGAGAAGCGACCUCGCGAGAGCAAGCGGACCUCACAAAGUAUGUCGUAGUCCGGAUCGGAGUCUGCAACUCGACUCCGUGAAGUCGGAAUCGCUAGUAAUCGUAGAUCAGAAUGCUACGGUGAAUACGUUCCCGGGCCUUGUACACACCGCCCGUCACACCAUGGGAGUGGGUUGCAAAAGAAGUAGGUAGCUUAACCUUCGGGAGGGCGCUUACCACUUUGUGAUUCAUGACUGGGGUGAAGUCGUAACAAGGUAACCGUAGGGGAACCUGCGGCUGGAUCACCUCC
rnacentral:rRNA from 1 species